rnacentral:lncRNA from 1 species
UAGACCCCUCCACCAAAAAGCACCAGCUUCCUUAAACAUGUACCAUCGAGCUACAAGUGCACAUGGGAAUGCAAGAAAAAGAAAGUGAGCUUGUGCCAUCUUGACUUUCCCAACCCAAUUAUGCCUUAUGUCCCCAUAAUAUUAAGCAUUUUGCCAUCCCCAUGACUUUGAUACAUGCUUUCCCAAGUUUCUCUAUAUUCUCAAGUUUUCAAAUACCACAACUUAUUGUCCUUUAUCUGAUUCUCAUCUCAAUACAUGAACAAGGAUCCAGUUCUUUUUUUCUUUUUCUUUUUCUUUUUUUUUUUGGCUGGAUACAAAAAAGUAUGCAAUGCCAUAAUGCGCCAUGAGGCAUUGACUCACUGUCCAAGGUUUGCCAACAUCCAUUUCAAGUGAUCAAACUGUCAUUCUGAUAAUUUUGAACAUCUGAAUGUGAA